rnacentral:snRNA from 1 species
AUCGCUUCUCGGCCUUUUGGCUAAGAUCAAGAGUAGUAUCUGUUCUUAUCAGUUUAAUAUCUAUACAUCCUCUGUCUGAGGACAAUGUAUUAAAUGGAUUUUUGGAGCAGGGAGAUGGAUUAGGAGCUUGCUCAGUCCACUGUGUACAUGGACCUGGUAUUGCAGUACCUCCGGGAAUGGUGUGCCAGAA